AUUGAACGCUGGCGGCAGGCCUAACACAUGCAAGUCGAGCGGUUGAAGGUAGCUUGCUCCUGGAUUCAACGGCGGACGGGUGAGUAAUUCCUAGGAAUCUGCCUUGUCGUUGGGGAUAACGUACGGAAACGGGCGCUAAUACCGCAUACGUCCUGAGGUAGAAAGUGGGGGAUCUUCGGACCUCACGCUAUUAGCUGAGCCUAGGUCGGGUUAGCUAGUUGGUGGGGUAAAGGCCUACCAAGGCGACGAUCCGUAACUGGUCUGAGAGGAUGAUCAGUCACACUGGAACUGGGACACGGUCCAGACUCCUACGGGAGGCAGCAGUGGGGAAUAUUGGAAAAUGGGCGAAAGCCUGAUCCAGCCAUGCCGCGUGUGUGAAGAAGGUCUUCGGAUUGUAAAGCACUUUAAGUUGGGAGGAAGGGCAGUAAGUUAAUACCUUGCUGUUUUGACGUUACCAACAGAAUAAGCACCGGCUAACUUCGUG
rnacentral:rRNA from 1 species